UGGGGAAUAUUGCACAAUGGGCGCAAGCCUGAUGCAGCCAUGCCGCGUGUGUGAAGAAGGCCUUCGGGUUGUAAAGCACUUUCAGCGGGGAGGAAGGCGUUCAGGUUAAUAACCUUGGCGAUUGACGUUACCCGCAGAAGAAGCACCGGCUAACUCCGUGCCAGCAGCCGCGGUAAUACGGAGGGUGCAAGCGUUAAUCGGAAUUACUGGGCGUAAAGCGCACGCAGGCGGUCUGUCAAGUCGGAUGUGAAAUCCCCGGGCUCAACCUGGGAACUGCAUUCGAAACUGGCAGGCUAGAGUCUUGUAGAGGGGGGUAGAAUUCCAGGUGUAGCGGUGAAAUGCGUAGAGAUCUGGAGGAAUACCGGUGGCGAAGGCGGCCCCCUGGACAAAGACUGACGCUCAGGUGCGAAAGCGUGGGGAGCAAACAGG
rnacentral:rRNA from 1 species